UGGGUAACAACUUGAUUCGCUAAUGCUCUCUUUUGUUGAAAAGAAAUUUAAAAUUUUCAUUUUAACUUGAUUGACUUAUAGAUGACCUCCCUCAGUCUUACUGAAAAAACAUCUUAGUCAGGUUUCUGAUUGCUGGGUUUGCAACUUAUUUGGGUUAUCUACACUUUGGAGUUCCUUUCAUGGAUAUGAGAAUUGAUUUUUAGAAUAGAUUUUCGACUAGCGUUCUUGUCAUUUAUGGACAGAGAUUCAACCAUAAUUUGCAGCCCCAGAUCUCCUGUAAAGUGAGGUCUGAUUCUGUAACUCACAAAGGUAUACAUUUGUGGCUGGCACUGGAUAUGUCGCAUCUUUGCUCAUCAGUCUAUUGCUUCGGAAGGGGUAUUCUGUCAACGUUUUGUGCUUUUACCCUUUCUUUCUACUAGAUUUUGACAUUAUAUGUGAUCUAAUUAUUUUAAGUUUUGGUAGUCUACAGCUGCUGCACGUCUUCCAUAAUGUCACACUUGUGUUGGUGCUAAUGAGGAACAUGGUAAUUAUUAACUCAUUUUGAAUGUGGCAUCUUGUGAGGCUUCUAAUGAAAUAGAUGCUCCUAAAGCUGCAUCUGUGAUGGUGGAGCCACAGGAAGAGGUAGCCAAGCGAGGUGAUACAAAACUAUCAAUUGAAUAAUCAGAUUGCCCAAGCGGUCCUGUGACAGAGAAAAAAUGGGUUUCGGCUGAUAAAGAAUCUUCUGCUACCUGCUGUAAAAUGGAUUCGACAGUGACACAAGCGAGUUAAACUGUAUUGGAGACUGGAAGCCCAAAAGUUUAGAAGUUCAAGAUUGAUCUGAUGAGUUGCUGUAUCUCCAUAGACUGUUGAAGUUGAAGAAGAUAUGUGAAGGUCGCCUCUAUGCAGUGUCAUUUACCGAAUUAAGGACCAUAAUAAUUAGACAAUGUGAUGAGUUUAGAGUAUAUCUUCUCAAUCUUCAUGGCAAGAAACCUUUCACAUCUCCAAGAAGUCGAAGUGACUGAUUGCAAGAACCUAAAAGAGAUUUUUGGUGAUGAAGAAAUUGAAGAAUCUACAGAACAUGCUGAUCAGAGGUUGUGUUCCCAAAACUUUUAAGGUUGACUGUGAAGGUUCAUUGUCCAAGCUUGGGAUAUCACCUAAAAAUCCCAAGUAAGGGCUACAGAAUGUUGAAGCAUGAAAAACUUCUUUUCAGUCUCUAUAGCUGCAGGUCUCUGGAAACUUAAAGAGAUUGAGAUAAACUCUUGUGGGUUGGAGGAAAUUGUUGCCAUGGAGAAAGUAGAAGCGCCCCCUAAGUUUGAGUUUCCUCAACUAAAUUUCUUGCAACUUGUGGAUUUACCAGAACUCAAAAGUUUGUACCUGAGGUCGCACACAACAAAGUUGCCAUUGCUAAAAAGCUUGGUGGUUUAUCAUUGUCAUAAGCUUCUUAGCCAAUCCGAAAACCCAACUCAACAUCCUCUGUUUUGCCUUGGGGAGGUGAUAUCCGAUAAGAAGUUGGAGAAAUUGUCUGUAAACAGCAAUGAUAUUAAAUUGAUAUGCUCAGGCAGCAACCAUUUUUCAGCAAAGAUGUUUCACAAACUUGAAGAUCUUCAGGUGGUCUGCUUUCAUGAUGAAUCACCUGUCUUUCCAUUAGAUGUUCUUGAUAUUGUCUUCAGAUGGACUCUAUCAAUACUUCACCUACAAAGAAGCUGUAUUAGAAGUUGAGUUAUUCAUCACUGCAUUUCCUGAAGGAGAUCCUGCACAACAUCUCAUCGAAGAAGUACUAUUCCUCACAGCAAAGAAAGCUGGUAAGAAUCUGAACUAAAUGAGAAAAAGUUAAUCUAAUGAACUUGGUUUUGUUAACAAUGCAGGUAUUGACUUCCAUGUGUUGUUUGAUAUCCCACAAGGGGAUCGCCGAAGAUAUAACGACGAUGUUACUAUCAUCCUAAUAUCAUUCAAGGGAAGAAUAUGGCGUUCAUCUGUGUAAAUAGAGAUAGCUUAUAGAAAAGACAUAUAAAUCCAUACAGAAAAUAUGGGAUGAAGUUGGAGAGCCUGAUGUUGAAAGGGAUCAGACAACAAUGGAGAUUGAAAAGGAGUGCUGGCAGUAUAUGGGAGAAAAUAGAUGAGGCAAAAACUUCUAGAGCUCAUCUUCAGAGAGCAAUUGCUCUUUCUGAAUCUGAAAUUGCUGGUAUAUGUUCUUCAUUGAGGGAGAGCAACCUGUGAAUGUAAGUUCCUUUUGGAUUGAAGAAACAAGACUAAUGUUUUAACUUACUUCUUAGUGAAUAUAGUGAAAUUUUUUAAGUGGUUGAUAAUUAGUAUGUGUUGGUUGAGGACUUCAGUCUGAUCAAAAGGCAGGUGGAAAUUUGAAAGAAAAACUUAAAACCAUUAUUCCACAAUUGGAGGAUGUGCGCCAGAGGAAGACAGAGAGAGAGUCAAUUUGCUGAAGUGUUACUGAAUUGUGUUUUACCCUUUCCUCUGAAAAAACUGAUGUAUUAUCAAAGUUGCAUGUUUAUACCUAUAAUAUGCUGGAAUACUUAUCACUGUGUUCUCCACAACCUUGAUUAUCUUGGGGCUUUUUUC